UAUUGGUCAAUGGGCGGAAGCCUGAACCAGCCAAGUCGCGUGAGGGAAUAAGGCCCUACGGGUCGUAAACCUCUUUUGUCAGGGAACAAAGGCGGGGACGUGUCCCCGGAUGAGUGUACCUGAAGAAAAAGCAUCGGCUAACUCCGUGCCAGCAGCCGCGGUAAUACGGAGGAUGCGAGCGUUAUCCGGAUUUAUUGGGUUUAAAGGGUGCGCAGGCGGUCUGUUAAGUCAGCGGUCAAAGCCCGGGGCUCAACCCCGGCCCGCCGUUGAAACUGGCAGUCUCGAGUUGGAGAGAAGUAUGCGGAAUGCGCGGUGUAGCGGUGAAAUGCAUAGAUAUCGCGCAGAACUCCGAUUGCGAAGGCAGCAUGCCGGCUCCACACUGACGCUGAGGCACGAAAGCGUGGGUAUCGAACAGG
rnacentral:rRNA from 1 species